GACUCUCGGCAACGGAUAUCUCGGCUCUCGCAUCGAUGAAGAACGUAGCGAAAUGCGAUACUUGGUGUGAAUUGCAGAAUCCCGUGAACCAUCGAGUCUUUGAACGCAAGUUGCGCCCGAAGCCACUAGGCCGAGGGCACGUCUGCCUGGGUGUCACGCAACGUCGCCAGCUCCCGAU
rnacentral:rRNA from 1 species